ACCGCUUUAAAACACAGGUUCCUGUACGAUCACAGAAGUUAAGCAACAUUGAGCCGGGUCAGUACCUAAAUGGGUAACCGUUUGGGAAUACCAGGUGCUGUAAG